rnacentral:tRNA from 1 species
GGUAGCUCAGUGGUACAGCGCUUGCCUCACAUGCAUGAGGCCCUGGGUUCAAUUCCUCAGUACCA